UUGGGUUUUCUAAUAAUUUUUCCUUUUAAGAUAGAAUGCUAAAAUAGAAAAGAAUAAAUAAGAAGAGCAAAUAAAAACUUACUUGAUAAAUUGGGGAAGAACUCCCCCAAGCUGGAUGUUGCUGUCGGUCUUACCCGAUGUUCCAGAACCGCAUCAUGGUUGUGAUAUUGUCGUUCAUUGUUGUUGUAUCUUGUCUCAGCUCUUGUACCGCAGCGGCAUGGUCCUGGUUCCAUUUUUGUUGCUCUUCCAGGAGUCUUCCAUGUUCUGCUUGCGUGUUCUGGAUGUUGAGGAGGGUGUUGUCGGUACGAGUGAAGAAAGCACCGGCCUCUUGGUAGUAGUCAUUCGUGAAAGCGUAGGAGGCGUUGGAGUAUCGUCCUGCAUCAAAUUGGGGUGGAGGUCUGGAUCCUAAAGCUCCAUAUGGAUCAGUGGAGUACCUGCCUGUAUGAAAUGGCGGGUUUGUCCACUGAUGAUCUUGGCUCUCCGGCCAUGUCUCCUCUGUUGGCU
rnacentral:lncRNA from 1 species